AGUGGAUGGGGAGCAACCUAGUUGUGCGUGUGUAAAGGUAGUGCCAAGAAAAGCGAUGAUCAUGUUGAAAAUCAAUUCCCGGUACCCGAAACCGACACAGGUGGGCAAGUAGAGAAUACUAAGGGGCGCGAGGUAACUCUCUCCAAGGAACUCGGCAAAAUGACCCCGUAACUUAGGGAGAAGGGGUGCCACCGAGAGGUGGUCGCAGUGAAGAGGCCCAGGCGACUGUUUAGCAAAAACAUAGGUCUCUGCAAACUCGAAAGAGGAGGUAUAGGGGCUGACGCCUGCCCAGUGCCGGAAGGUUAAAGAAGUUGGUCAGUUUUAGGAUGAAGCUAGCGACCGAAGCCCCGGUGAACGGCGGCCGUAGCUAUAACGGUCCUAAGGUAGCGAAAUUCCUUGUCGGGUAAGUUCCGACCCGCACGAAAGGCGUAACGAUCUGGGCGCUGUCUCGGAGAGAGGCUCGGCGAAAUAGGAUUGUCUGUGAAGAUACGGACUACCUGCAUUUGGACAGAAAGACCCUAUGAAGCUUUACUAUAGCUUGGAAUUGUGUUCGGGCUUCCUGUGCGCAGGAUAGGUGGGAGGCGUAGAAGGUAUUCUUGUGGGGAUACUGGAGCCAACGGUGAGAUACCACUCUCAGGAGGCUAGAAUUCUAACUUAAUUAAGGACAGUUUCAGGUGGGUAGUUUGACUGGGGCGGUCGCCUCCAGAAAGGUAACGGAGGCGUACAAAGGUUCCCUCAGACUGGUUGGAAAUUAGUCGAAGAGUGCAAAGGCAGAAGGGAGCUUGACUGCGAGAAGUACAGUUCGAGCAGGGUGGAAACACGGUCUUAGUGAUCCGACGGUGCUGUGUGGAAGGGCCGUCGCUCAACGGAUAAAAGUUACUCUAGGAUAACAGGCUGAUCUCCCCCAAGAGUUCACAUCGACGGGGAGGUUUGGCACCUCGAUGUCGGCUCAUCGCAACCUGGGGCGGAAGUACGUCCCAAGGUUGGGCUGUUCGCCCAUUAAAGCGGUACGUGAGCUGGGUUCAGAACGUCGUGAGACAGUUCGGUCCAUAUCCGAUGUAGGCGUGAGAAUAUUGAGAGGAGCCUUCCUUAGUACGAGAGGACCGGGAAGGACGCACCGCUGGUGUACCUGUUAUGAUGCCAAUUGUAAACGCAGGGUAGCCAAGUGCGGAGAGGAUAACCGCUGAAAGCAUCUAAGUGGGAAGCCCACCUCAAGAUGAGUAUUCUGGUGUAAGGUCACGGGAAGACGACCCGUAAAUAGGCACGAGGUGUAAGUGCAGAGAUGUAUGAAGCCGAAGUGUACUAAUAGACCGUCGGCUUGAC
rnacentral:rRNA from 1 species